rnacentral:snoRNA from 1 species
ACGACCUUACUUGAACAUGAUCUGUUCUAUAGGCUCGUACCGAUGCAUCCUUUACCAAUAAGGAGGCAAGCACUCAAGUCUGGUUGAUGACCUCUGACCUCUGGGCCAAAGCGUGAUUAACGGCCAGGAUUCAUCUGAUGGAUCUGAUGGCUAUAGACGAUCGUUCUUGCCAGGCUCAGCUUGUGCAGGGUGGUCCAGAGGUUGUCUGACAGACU